AUUGCUACAUAUUUUCCCCAGUUUUAUACAGAUUGUAUCCUAACCACCACAUUGUCAAGAGCCAAAGCUAAGGGAAAAACAGACAUUUGAUAAUCACAUAAAAACAGAAAAUGUCCAUCUCUAGUAGUCUUUCUAUGGUGUUCUUCUAUCAAAGGGUAAAAAUAAUAUAAUGAGCCUUAUGCUUAUGAUGAGCCUAAAGGUUUUAUUUACUUACUUACUUAGAGAGCCUAAUUAUUUCCCUCAUAUCAAAGAAAGUGAGUCAAGACUAUAGAAAACAUAAGAUAAUAGAGUAGAUCUGACCUGAGAAAGUGGUGGAAUGAAACUACUGUACUUGAUCCUUAGAAAAAAUAUAGCUAGGCUAUACAUGAUAUGAACAAUAACCUAUUAGGAAGAGACAAGCACAUUCAAUAACAAAAGUGGCAGAUUAUUUUCAGAUUUCCUCACAACAUCAACACAAAGACAUUUGUGUAUAUGUAGGAAACCUGGUAGCUACCCCACACAACAAUACUGAUGUGUUGGAAUUUCCUGGCACUACAUGGCAUAACAGCAAAGAAGCCCCAUCCUUUCCCCCCUCCACAGAACAGGCUGAGGCACAGCAAGGCCACAAGACUAAAGCACUGCACAUGCACAGGCUUGUGCAGCCCUGUCUCAUAGCAACAAGUGGAACAUGUGCCUUCAGAAGCACUAGAUGGUUGGUCAAGUUGAAACGUAAAUGGAUGCUGAGGCCCCACAGCGAAGCUGCAAAGUACAUAUAUGCUGCAGUAAUGGAGGUCUCUAAAGCACACAACACCAUGAGUUUAUUCAGAGAUUGCAACCUCCGUCCAUUGUCCUUCCCUCCCGCUGUUUUUCCCCACACACCAGUCACAGGAGCUCUGAUCCAGCCUCGCCUCCGCAGCCGUGCAACAGUAGCGGAGAGCACAGGUCCCACAGCAGUACUUUGCAUCCUGGCCGUCAUACUUCUCUGGACACUGGAAGCCCUUGUGCCAGAUCUUGUAAGAGUCGGACCAGCCAUGGCAAUACUCUCCUGAGCUGGCCACAAUAUGUUUGUGCAUCAAAGAGAAAAAUAAAUAUAAAGCAAUUAAAAAACGCAUAUUGUAUGACAGGAAAAACCCUCACACCCAAUUGGUGAAACAGUUGUUUGGAGCUUCAAAAAGUUCAAAUCAAAAGCCCAAUGACAUGCUCACAAUUGGGAAGAAAAUGGUCAAUGAAAUAACAACAAUUCAAUGAAUGAAAAAGUGACGUUAUCCAGUCA